AUUGAACGCUGGCGGCAGGCCUAACACAUGCAAGUCGAACGAGUGGCGGACGGGUGAGUAAUGUCUGGGAAACUGCCUGCUGGAGGGGGAUAACUACUGGAAACGGUAGCUAAUACCGCAUACCAUCGGAUGUGCCCAGAUGGGAUUAGCUAGUAGGUGGGGUAAAGGCUCAACUAGGCGACGAGCCCUAGCUGGGCUGAGAGGCUGACCAGCCACACUUGAACUGAGACACGGUCCAGACGCCUACGGGAGGCAGCAGUGGGGAAUAUUGCACAAUGGGCGCAAGCCUGAUGCAGCCAUGCCGCGUGUAUGAAGAAGGCCUUCGGGUUGUAAAGUACUUUCAGCGGGGAGGCGUUACCCGCAGAAGAAGCACCGGCUAACGCCGUGCCAGCAGCCGCGGUAAUUC
rnacentral:rRNA from 1 species